GUGGUCUUGACACACACAGAAAGUGAGCACAGAAGACCGAAUUCACUGCCGUAUUAGCCGCUCCUCCUCACAACCAUGACGAAGCUGGUGCGAAAGCUGAAGCAGAUGGCGAAGAAGAGGGCGCACCGCAAGACGGUGCAGAAGCGAAAGGUAGAGCGUGCGCAGCGCGAGCUUGAGCGCCGCAGUGAGCAGCAAUCCCAGAAGCUGGAAGACGAAGUUGACCGCGAGAUGGCGCGGCUGAAUGGAGAACUAGAGAAGGAAGCAGGCGCCCGCGUUGGUGCGAGCGGCCCUGACAUGGAUGAGGCGGCGACGAACGUGGUGGUGAAGCGGGCGGUGCGCAUUAUCGGUGGCCUCGUCCUUGAAGCCCCUGUGACGAAGAAGAAGCAGCUGACGCGCAAGCAGGCGAAGCGCAAGGAGAAGAUGGUGGAGCGUGGGCUGGCAGUGAACGACAGCCUCUCCAAAAAGUGGGACCACAAGAAGCGCUGCGUCAAGCUACGCGCGCAAAUCCGAAACGAGGAUUUGCACAACUGACGAGGGAAGUGAAGGAAGCAAAGGGGAGCACCAAAUCGCACGUGUGUGUGUAUAUCUGCGCGUCGAUAUGGAACAUCUGAUCUUUCCGCGGUUGGAUGUGGUGAGCGUGGACGGGGCGCAUUGCUGUUCCGUCGGUUUUCCGCGAGAGCGCAACAGGUGUGGCAUGAGAGGGAAACGUUAUUGGCAAGCUCUGCUGGCUGUCGUACCCGUUCUUUUCUUGGUGCGAAGCUCUCUCUCACCUCUGUGUCCGCCUCCUGCGACGUCUGUAAGAAGGGACGGCUUUUCAACUUGCCUGAUGUGAGAGUGUUCUUGGUGCCACCGAUCUUGCUCGUGAAGAGGCGGCUAAGCUAAUUGUAACAAACUUUGCUCACCGCGAAAGUAUUUGAUCGGUGCUCUCUGCCUGGCCCGAAUGCACGCAGGGUGCUUGUUGCUCGUCCACAAAAAAAAAGACCACCGCAGACGACACCAGCCACCUCUGCCAGCUGCAGAGCGGUGGCGCCGAUGCACUUGAAACGAAUACACAACCGUUUCGCUUAAGCUUCUGGAAGCGCGCUGAUGACGCGAGAUGCUCUCCCUUCUCUCACGGCCGCGUUGUGGCGACGGGGGCGGGGUUACGUGGCCGCCUCGGCUCGUAUUUUUCCUGUUUUGCUUCCCUAGCGAAGCUCUGUCUCUCCGUGUUACCUGCAACUCGGUACAUGUGUGGUGUCGUACUACUCUUCGCAAUCACAAACUCUUUUCGGACGUUUCGUUCCUUUUGGUCCUUUUUUUGCUUUCGUUUUGGGCGAGAGGUGGGGGGCCUCCCAG
rnacentral:misc_RNA from 1 species